rnacentral:rRNA from 1 species
AGCAGUGGGGAAUAUUGGACAAUGGGCGCAAGCCUGAUCCAGCCAUGCCGCGUGUGUGAAGAAGGCCUUCGGGUUGUAAAGCACUUUUGUCCGGAAAGAAAAGCUCUGGGUUAAUACCCCGGGGUCAUGACGGUACCGGAAGAAUAAGCACCGGCUAACUUCGUGCCAGCAGCCGCGGUAAUACGAAGGGUGCAAGCGUUACUCGGAAUUACUGGGCGUAAAGCGUGCGUAGGUGGUUAGUUAAGUCUGUCGUGAAAGCCCCGGGCUCAACCUGGGAAUGGCGAUGGAUACUGGCUCGCUAGAGUGCGGUAGAGGAGAGUGGAAUUCCCGGUGUAGCAGUGAAAUGCGUAGAGAUCGGGAGGAACAUCAGUUGCGAAGGCGGCUCUCUGGACCAGCACUGACACUGAGGCACGAAAGCGUGGGGAGCAAACAGGAUUAGAUACCCUAGUA